rnacentral:rRNA from 1 species
GACGAACGCUGGCGGCGUGCUUAACACAUGCAAGUCGAACGGAAAGGCCCUGCUUUUGUGGGGUGCUCGAGUGGCGAACGGGUGAGUAACACGUGAGUAACCUGCCCUUGACUUUGGGAUAACUUCAGGAAACUGGGGCUAAUACCGGAUAGGAGCUCCUGCUGCAUGGUGGGGGUUGGAAAGUUUCGGCGGUUGGGGAUGGACUCGCGGCUUAUCAGCUUGUUGGUGGGGUAGUGGCUUACCAAGGCUUUGACGGGUAGCCGGCCUGAGAGGGUGACCGGCCACAUUGGGACUGAGAUACGGCCCAGACUCCUACGGGAGGCAGCAGUGGGGAAUAUUGCACAAUGGGCGGAAGCCUGAUGCAGCAACGCCGCGUGCGGGAUGACGGCCUUCGGGUUGUAAACCGCUUUCGCCUGUGACGAAGCGUGAGUGACGGUAAUGGGUAAAGAAGCACCGGCUAACUACGUGCCAGCAGCCGCGGUGAUACGUAGGGUGCGAGCGUUGUCCGGAUUUAUUGGGCGUAAAGGGCUCGUAGGUGGUUGAUCGCGUCGGAAGUGUAAUCUUGGGGCUUAACCCUGAGCGUGCUUUCGAUACGGGUUGACUUGAGGAAGGUAGGGGAGAAUGGAAUUCCUGGUGGAGCGGUGGAAUGCGCAGAUAUCAGGAGGAACACCAGUGGCGAAGGCGGUUCUCUGGGCCUUUCCUGACGCUGAGGAGCGAAAGCGUGGGGAGCGAACAGGCUUAGAUACCCUGGUAGUCCACGCUGUAAACGGUGGGUACUAGGUGUGGGGUCCAUUCCACGGGUUCCGUGCCGUAGCUAACGCUUUAAGUACCCCGCCUGGGGAGUACGGCCGCAAGGCUAAAACUCAAAGGAAUUGACGGGGCCCCGCACAAGCGGCGGAGCAUGCGGAUUAAUUCGAUGCAACGCGUAGAACCUUACCUGGGUUUGACAUGGAUCGGGAGUGCUCAGAGAUGGGUGUGCCUCUUUUGGGGUCGGUUCACAGGUGGUGCAUGGCUGUCGUCAGCUCGUGUCGUGAGAUGUUGGGUUAAGUCCCGCAACGAGCGCAACCCUUGUUCACUGUUGCCAGCACGUUAUGGUGGGGACUCAGUGGAGACCGCCGGGGUCAACUCGGAGGAAGGUGGGGAUGACGUCAAGUCAUCAUGCCCCUUAUGUCCAGGGCUUCACGCAUGCUACAAUGGCUGGUACAGAGAGUGGCGAGCCUGUGAGGAUGAGCGAAUCUCGGAAAGCCGGUCUCAGUUCGGAUUGGGGUCUGCAACUCGACCUCAUGAAGUCGGAGUCGCUAGUAAUCGCAGAUCAGCAACGCUGCGGUGAAAACGUUCCCGGG